ensembl:lncRNA
CAUUCUCAUAUUCAGGCACUCAGAUUCUACUAAAAGGCUUCCUGAUGUUUCCUCUUUGGGGUCUAGGAUUUGCCUGGCUGAUUUUUGGCUUGACCACUAAUUCUGAGCCUGCAGUGGGAGCUAAUGCAACCUCCAGAGAGGACUGUAAUCAAAGAGACUGCAAUGGAAUACAGUAUGACAUCCGAGAGGCUGUUUGCUGUGAAAAUAAGCUUCACCCUGGUGUAAGUCUAUUUUGCUGUGGAAAGGAGCCUUACAAUCCUGGAACAGCCACUUGUUGUAAAAUACGACAUGGACACAGCACCACAGCUGUUACACAGGGUCUAAGUGAAAAUGUGUCCAAGUGCUGUGACCUGAAGGCGUACAACCCAGUCAAUGAAAUAUGCUGUCAAUCAACCAUCGUAGCAAAACCUGGACCAAUGGCUGAAUGCUGUGGUAAAGAGGCUUAUGAUAAGGACAAGCAGUUGUGCUGUGGUCCGACUGAGAGCAAGAUGAUUCUGAUGAGGAAUUCCAGUCACCACCAGUGCUGUGGUCACAACCAGUAUGACACAGAGACUCAGUGCUGCUGUUCAAAUGAGGAAAGCGUGGAGAUACAAUCAAAGGAUUCAUCCUGUUGUUUCAAGGACUUUGGUGUAUCUGCAGCUCCUUUAUGUGGAAAUACGACCUUCAACAUACAUACGCAUUUAUGUUGUCAGUCAACUGUUGUUGCCAAAUCUUCACCACAGCACAGAUGUUGUGAUAAAGGGACAUAUGAUGUGGAAAAGGAGCUGUGUUGUGGUCCAAUUAACGAUAAGAAGAUCCUUAAAAGGAACUCUACAGAUCACCAAUGCUGUUAUCAUGACCAGUUCAACACAAAGACUGAGUGCUGUUGUUGGAAAAAGGAAAGUGCUGAAGUACAAUUGAAGAAUUCAUCUUGCUGUUCAGAGGAGUCAGCUGUGUUUGAAGGUCAAAGCAAGUCCAAGGUGGAUAACCAAGUCUGCUGUGAUGGCUGUGCAUCUGUGCAGAAGCCUUGGAUUAAUCAAUGCUGUGGAGAGACGCCGUAUGGCUCGGCACAGCGUGGAGUUCUCUGUUGUAAUAACAUCUUGUACGAGAACAGAGAUGAUGGAGAGGAAUGUUCAGAGACUGGUAUUCCUUACAACCUGGCUAAAGGGACUAUAUGCUGCUCUCAGUUUCACGGCAGCCCGGGAAAACACUGCUGUGGGACAGAAAUUUACCAUCCUGAUGCUGAGAUCUGCUGCAACGGACACAGACAUUCCAAAUCGAAAAAUAUUCACUGCUGUGGGAUUAAAGCCUACAACAUUAAAGACCCACAGAUGAAGUGCUGUGCAGGAACACUGUACAAUCUGACACUGUUAGAUGAGCAUGGACAGGAUGCACAGUGUUGCGGAUCCCUUCUGCAAAAGCAACAGGACAUUUGCUGCUCAAGUGAGGACAGAGAAGUGCUAUACUCUGCUAGGACAGGAUUCAGAUGCUGUGGUCACCUCUACUUCAACACCACCCUGUGGUCAUGCUGUGCCGAGCGGCUGAGAUCAAUCCAUGAACCAGGACAAGAUCAGAGGAAGAUGAGUAAUGAAUCCAGACUUCAAUCAGUGAAUAAUAUGAACAAAACUGAUCUUUGCAAAAAAAUGCGCAUCGGGACGGUGGAAAGUGUCUCUCUGCAUAGCAUUGUGUUCAAGAGCGUGCUGAAGAUCCGUGGGAAGAAGGCCAAAGUGAAAGCGUUGCCUUUCCCUUAUAUCUUGAAAACAGAUGAUCGCUGCAGCUCACCCAAACUGAUUCCUGGGAAGACCUACUUCUUUAACAAAGUUAAUGUUUUCACCGAUUCCAACCAUGACACUGUUCUUCAGUCACUCCACUUCAUUUUUUCCAAGUGUUCACCUUAGAUCACCAGUCGCUGAUGGAUACAUAUUACUUCUUACUCACACACCGAUUUACAUUUUUUCAUAACAGCUACUACAGAGAUGCGUUGUCACAUAACGGUCUGUUACCUCUAAAACAAUCAACCUUAAAGGUACUCAUCCUCAUAAAAAAAUUUCAACCUGACGUUUUACCAGCGAUACCAGUGGCAAAGUUGGUGAAAACCAACCCAAAGAGAUCUUUUCAGUUCAUCAUUGCUUUUCUUACUCAUUCAGACUCAAAAUUUGACCUGUUUGCUUCGAUUAGCAUGCACUCACCUUGAACAUUGCUCUGGAUCCCACAGAUCUUCAUGAGCUUUACUGAUCUUUAUGUUACUUUUUCAGAUUUUUGAAUAGGUUUGAGUUUGCAUUUGCAGCAGUGUUGCACUGCCAAAAAUUUUAGGCCAGUCACUUUUUUUUUCUACAAGAUGAGAUCAGUUAUUGUUGCACAAAUAACAGUUGGAGUUUUUUUGUUUGUUUAUUUUAAAAUUUUCUAUUAUACAGAUUAUGUAACUUGAGUAAAAACAAAAACACAGCUGGUUUGCUAGUAGCAGGCAACCAUUUACCUUAUUUAGAGACAAUGAUGCACAAUAUUACUGCAAUACAGACAAAUGUGAUGCGAGUAUACAAUGCAUUACUUUUUAUAUCACACCCACACUGCUUACUUAUUUCAUUAAGAAAAUCGCAUUGUGUUUCCAAAACAGCAGUAUCAGUUACUAGUGAUAUUACUUAUACAUUGUUAUCAAUAUAUUAUACAUUGUUUUUCAAAUAUUGUUUCACUUGUUACAUUACUCUGCUUGUAUUCAGCCAAACCAUGUUCCUCUUUGGUUUAAGAUGCCCCCAAAAGUCUCAUCACUGUGAGACUUUAUGUAAAGAUGUUUGAAAUGAGUAAGAACAAUGUACUUCAAAGUGUAAUAUUUACUGAACUUCAUAUUGUAGUCAGUCACACAACUUAAAGUAAUAACUGAGUGUAACACAGCCAAUUGGUACACAGUGUUGUUCAAAUCUAAAUCUGUAAUAUAUGCAAUAAUAGAAUAUGAUCACCAACUGCCAGUCUGAAACAAAAAGAAAAAGCUAAAGAAGCAAACAGUAUAUCAAAGCUUGUGCGAGUCUGGGAUCAGCAGUAACUGAUACCUUAGCAGUCAUUAUAGCAGGUAGCACACAAGAAUAGCAUACAGCUCUGUGCUCAAGCUACGCUGCUAUUAGCUAAUAUGGUCUUUAAAUAUUGGGGAUUAUUAUUUUUAUGCUAUUCUGAUUCUUGCACUAAACUAAAUUAUAAAUGGCGACUGUUUGCACAUCAUUAACCCAUAUAGUUGAAUUUAUACAUGUUCUAUUAAUGGCAUUCUCUUAUUUUUAUUCAUUAAGCUACUAGAUGUACUCAACUUGGCAUUUAUCGUGAAAUAUGCUUUAAGGACCCAAAAGACCACCCAGAGGUCACAUUUAAAUGUCUUGGGUUUGUUUACUUGUAACUACUCAUUUUUGUUCUCCUUGGUUUAAGCUACAUUUUUUUAUUCGGAAUAUGUUUGGCAUUUAUUUCACUGUAUGUUUCUUCACAAUAUAUAAGACACACCUUUAACCCAGAGAAACCCUGGAAAUGUUGAAGGCACGCAAUUUUAUAUUUUGCAUGUUUUAGUGAAAUUGUAGGAAGUACUGUCUUUUUAAGGAUAAAGCUUUGAAUAAAUAAAUAUAACAGCAUGUUGUGUUUUAUCUUAUUGAAUUGAUGGUCUUUAGGUUGGUCUUGCGAUUUAUUCAUGGAUCAAAAGAUAGUUCCAGCUGGAGAUGAAAUGAAUACAGAAAUACACAGAAAGUAGUGACUCUUGUGCCAAAAAUCCCCUGAAAUAUAGAUUUCAAAGUGACCUUUGAAAUUGACCUGGCCUCUUGUCCCCAGGCAACAGCUGUC